rnacentral:rRNA from 1 species
CUUCGCCACUGGUGGUCUCCCCGGGAUUAUAGGAUUUCACCCCUACCCCGAAAAUACCGUCUGCCUCUCUCGUUCCCUAGCCGGGCAGUAUCCCCCGCAAUCCAACGAUUAAUUCGGUGGAUUUAACAAGGGACUAACCUAGCCAGCUACGGAUGCUUUAGGCCCAAUAAACAUCCACACCA